rnacentral:rRNA from 1 species
UACGUAGGGUGCAAGCGUUAAUCGGAAUUACUGGGCGUAAAGCGUGCGCAGGCGGUUUUGUAAGUCAGAUGUGAAAGCCCCGAGCUCAACUUGGGAACUGCAUUUGAAACUGGCGGGCUGGAGUGUGGCAGAGGGGGGUGGAAUUCCACGUGUAGCAGUGAAAUGCGUAGAGAUGUGGAGGAACACCGAUGGCGAAGGCAGCCCCCUGGGCCAACACUGACGCUCAGGCACGAAAGCGUGGGGAGCAAACAGG